UGUGCCAGCAGCCGCGGUAAUACGUAGGGUCCAAGCGUUAAUCGGAAUUACUGGGCGUAAAGCGUGCGCAGGCGGUUGUGCAAGACCGAUGUGAAAUCCCCGAGCUUAACUUGGGAAUUGCAUUGGUGACUGCACGGCUAGAGUGUGUCAGAGGGGGGUAGAAUUCCACGUGUAGCAGUGAAAUGCGUAGAGAUGUGGAGGAAUACCGAUGGCGAAGGCAGCCCCCUGGGAUAACACUGACGCUCAUGCACGAAAGCGUGGGGAGCAAACAGGAUUAGAUACCCUGGUAGUCCACGCCCUAAACGAUGUCAACUAGUUGUUGGGGAUUCAUUUCCUUAGUAACGUAGCUAACGCGUGAAGUUGACCGCCUGGGGAGUACGGUCGCAAGAUUAAAACUCAAAGGAAUUGACGGGGACCCGCACAAGCGGUGGAUGAUGUGGAUUAAUUCGAUGCAACGCGAAAAACCUUACCUACCCUUGACAUGCCACUAACGAAGCAGAGAUGCAUU
rnacentral:rRNA from 1 species